rnacentral:sRNA from 1 species
AUAAAUAUAAAUUUUACCACUGCAUCGAGUGUGAUACGAUAUUUAUCCACUCGAGACAGUCUAAUUUUCAAAUUUAAAACGCCGAUCGUUUUAAGUAUUUAAAAUUUAACUGUCGAGAGUGAAUAAAUAUCGUUUUACACGAGAUUUGGUGGUUGAAUCUGUUUCUCU